rnacentral:rRNA from 1 species
CCUAAUACAUGCAAGUCGAGCGGACAGAUGGGAGCUUGCUCCCUGAUGUUAGCGGCGGACGGGUGAGUAACACGUGGGUAACCUGCCUGUAAAACUGGGAUAACUCCGGGAAACCGGGGCUAAUACCGGAUGGUUGUCUGAACCGCAUGGUUCAGACAUACAAGGUGGCUUCGGCUACCACUUACAGAUGGACCCGCGGCGCAUUAACUAGUUGGUGAGGUAACGGCCACCAAGGCGACGAUGCGUACCCAACCUGAGAGGGUGAUCGGCCACACUGGGACUGAGACACGGCCCAUACUCCUACGGGAGGCGGCAGUAGGGAAUCUUCCGCAAUGGACGAAAGUCUGACGGACCAACGCCGCGUGAGUGAUGAAGGUUUUCGGAUCGUAUAGCUCUGUUGUUAGGGAAGAACAAGUGCCGUUCAAAUAGGGCGGCACCUUGACGGUACCUAACCAGAAAGCCACGGCUAACUACGUGCCAGCAGCCGCGGUAAUACGUAGGUGGCAAGCGUUGUCCGGAAUUAUUGGGCGUAAAGGGCUCGCGGCGGUUUCUUAAGUCUGAUGUGAAAGCCCCCGGCUCAACCGGGGAGGGUCAUUGGAUACUGGGGAACUUGAGUGCAGAAGAGGAGAGUGAAAUUCCACGUGUAGCGGUGAAAUGCGUAGAGAUGUGGGGAACACCAGUGGCGAACGCGACUCUCUGAUCUGUAACUGACGCUGAGGAGCGAAAGCGUGAGGAGCGAACAGGAUUAUAUACCCUGGUAGUCCACGCCAUGAACGAUGAGUGCUAAGUGUUAUGAGCUUCCGCCCCUUAGUGCUGCAGCUAACGCAUUCAGCACUCCGACUGGGGCAGUACGGUCGCAAGACUGAUGCUCUGAGGAAUUGACGCACACCCGCACAAGCGUGGGAGCUAGUUGCUUUAAUUCGAA